rnacentral:rRNA from 1 species
UGGGGAAUAUUGGACAAUGGGGGGAACCCUGAUCCAGCCAUGCCGCGCGUGUGAAGAAGGCCUUUUGGUUGUAAAGCACUUUAAGCGAGGAGGAGGCUACCGAGAUUAAUACUCUUGGAUAGUGGACGUUACUCGCAGAAUAAGCACCGGCUAACUCUGUGCCAGCAGCCGCGGUAAUACAGAGGGUGCAAGCGUUAAUCGGAUUUACUGGGCGUAAAGCGCGCGUAGGUGGCCAAUUAAGUCAAAUGUGAAAUCCCCGAGCUUAACUUGGGAAUUGCAUUCGAUACUGGUUGGCUAGAGUAUGGGAGAGGAUGGUAGAAUUCCAGGUGUAGCGGUGAAAUGCGUAGAGGUCUGGAGGAAUACCGAUGGCGAAGGCAGCCAUCUGGCCUAAUACUGACACUGAGGUGCGAAAGCAUGGGAAGCAAACAGG